GCGCAGCAGGCGCGAAACCUCCGCAAUACACGAAAGUGUGACGGGGCCAUCCCGAGUGCCGUCCGCUGAGGACGGCUUUUUCCCCAGUGUACAUAGCUGGGGGAAUGAGGAGAGGGCAAGCCUGGUGUCAGCCGCCGCGGUAAUACCAGCUCUCCGAGUGGUGGGGACGCUUAUUGGGCCUAAAGCAUCCGUAGCCGGCUGGGCAAGUCCUCCGUUAAAUCCAACGAUUCAAUCGUUGGGCUGCGGGGGAUACUGUCCAGCUUGGGGGCGGGAGAGGCCGACGGUAUUCCCGGGGUAGGGGUGAAAUCCUAUAAUCCCGGGAGGACCACCAGUGACGAAGGCUGUCGGCUAGAACGCGCCCGACGGUGAGGGAUGAAAGCUGGGGGAGCGAACCGGAUUAGAUACCCGUGUAGU
rnacentral:rRNA from 1 species